UGCCAUAUCAAUUUUGUUGGUCUUAUCUCCAACCAUUCGAGAAGAGAUUUUAUUUCUUCUUUUCUCUUCGUCUUUCUUCUGCUUCUUCCAUGUUCUGCGUCUGCAGAAAUUUCUGAGGAUUAAAUGAGGGUUUCGAGAUCGAGUCAAGAUAAGAAAGAUUAAGAAAGUGUUACAUAUGAUGAGGGUUGUUGUGUGGUUGAAUUAUCUCGGGAGGAGAUGAACUGGAUGUAGCUGUAAGAAAGGAUUAGGGUUUCUGUGAGAUGAAAUCGUUUGAAGAUUUAUGAGAAACUGAAGAGGAAAUCAAGUAAUCGAUGAUGGGUAUUGGUGUAGAACUCAAAGACGAGAAGUUGGGGAUUAACUCUCAAAUUUCGGUGAAGACAAUCAAAGAGUUAGGCGGUGAUUUGGUUAUGAAGAUCAGAAGAUUGUUUAGAGGUUCAAUUAAUGAUGAUAAGAGGGAAUUAGAGAUGGGUUUUACCCGAAUUAGAGUUUGAGAUUGAAGAACAACUUGGAAUUGAUAGUUAGGAUUCGAGUAUGUUUCAAUGAAGAUUUGGGGUUUCUUUGAGAAAUGAUGAUGUGGCUGGAGUUCAAUUCUUUUAAUAAAAGAUUCAAAGGAUGAACCAGUGGAUUGAGGAUCUCGAGGUAGGCGAGGCUUGUCAUCCAAAAAGGUUGUAAUCCUAUUAGCUAAGCGGGUUUAUGAUUUGGGGCGUCACAGCUGCUACCCCCAACGUUUCUUCAAGUAUGACACCUCCAACCGUCACCAGAGCUGCUGCUACUCCACCAUCAGGGCGAGAGACUAGAGAUCCUAUAUUACUAUUGAUGAUCUGAUGGAAAGACAAGAAGUUCUUCCUAGAGCUCAGACAGACAUGGCUUCGACCCAAGAGGAGGUGCUUAUUUUCCUCAAGACACUAACGGAGCGGCUACCACAUGAAUCACGCCAACCAGAGCCAAUGAGGAACACCUCCAAUACCCCUGGCGCUGAUACCUCAGCAGGGCGUACUUUUAGAAACGAAGAGACUCGUUCAGGAGAUCCAGCGGAGAGGAAUCAACCAUCCAAUUUCGUCACACGAGAAUAUUUGGAAGGACUCCUUCGAAACCAAGACAAAAGCGAUUCUACAGGCAUGCAUCAGCAUCAACCCCCGUAUCCUCCUGAAGUACAAAAAAUCCCUCUUCUGAAUGGGUACUCUUCCCCUCAAUUCUCCCUGUAUGAUGGCACCGGUAAUGCGCGUGAACAUAUCUCUCGAUUUUUGGAAUCCUUGGGCGAGCAUGAAAAUACAAUCAUGUUCUCCGUUUGGGAGAGUUUUUGAAGUCAAUUACCGGAAGAGCAUACACAUGGUACAACAACAUUGCACCAAACACCAUCUCUAACUGGUGUGACAUGCUUACAGCUUUCUACAAGAAGUACUUCUUUGUGUUUGAGCAAAUUAUAUAUUCUCAGAUUUAGGAAGGAUGUUCCAACGAAACAAUGAACAUCCAAAUGAUUUUUGUCAAAAGGUUCAGAAUU